rnacentral:rRNA from 1 species
UUAAGACAUAAGUAAUGAGGAUGAAAGGUGGUGCAAGCCAUCACUUAGAGAUGAGUCUAUUUCCUAUUAGUUAGUUGGUGAGGUAAAGGCUCACCAAGACUAUGAUGGGUAGCCGACCUGAGAGGGUGUACGGCCACACUGGAACUGAGAUACGGUCCAGACUCCUACGGGAGGCAGCAGUGAGGAAUUUUGCGCAAUGGGGGAAACCCUGACGCAGCAACGCCGCGUGGGUGAUGAAGGUUUUCGGAUUGUAAAGCCCUUUUAGAGAGGACGAAAAGUAGGUUAUGCCUACGAUGACGGUACUCUCAGAAAAAGCCUCGGCUAACUACGUGCCAGCAGCCGCGGUAAUACGUAUGAGGCAAGCGUUAUUCGGAAUCACUGGGCGUAAAGGGCGUGUAGGUGGUAAGAUAAGUCAAUGGUGAAAUCUUAGAGCUUAACUCUAAAAUUGCCUUUGAAACUAUUUUACUUGAGUACAGGAGAGGAGAGCGGAAUUCCCGGUGGAGCGGUGAAAUGUGUAGAUAUCGGGAAGAAUACCUGUGGCGAAGGCGGCUCUCUGGACUGAUACUGACACUGAGGCGCGAAAGCCAGGGGAGCAAACGGGAUUAGAUACCCCGGUAGUCCUGGCCCUAAACGGUGACCAUUAGGUGUGGGAAGUAUCGACCCUUUCCGUGCCGAAGCUAACGCAUUAAAUGGUCCGC